rnacentral:pre_miRNA from 1 species
AUGGAGGGCAAUCUGUCUUUAAGUAAGGAUACAUUACUCUAAAAGAAGUGAAUCCUAGAUAGUUUUCCCUUUAAGUCAAGCAUCUUGU